rnacentral:tRNA from 1 species
GGCAAUAUAGUUUAGAUUUUUUAAAUAAUGCUUUUGUAAAGCAUAGAUGGAACUAUGAAAUAUGG